CUGUGGUCAGCAAUGGGGGACCCCCCAGUGUCUGCUGUCCCACUGUGAGCAGAGGUCCCACAGCCCAUGGAGCGGGUGUGUCUGUCCUUCCCAGGUCCAGCGCCGAGUGCUGAGGUGGCGGACAUUCUGAGCACCUGAGGCAUGUCCCUGAGGGGGUGGCACCACACCUGUGACGGUGGCGUCCCCCUGCGAGAUGACCCGUCCCUGUGGCCACAGGCUGGGGCAGACCGGGGUCAGAGGACGGCUGGUGCAGGGCCUCCAUGACAAUGACCACCAACCUGGGAUGAGGGUCUACCAAGCCUCCGAGUCCAGCGCCCCAGCCCCG
rnacentral:lncRNA from 1 species